UGGGGAAUCUUGCACAAUGGGGGAAACCCUGAUGCAGCGACGCCGCGUGAGCGAUGAAGGUUUUCGAAUCGUAAAGCUCUGUCCUAUGGGAAGAUAAUGACGGUACCAUGGGAGGAAGCCCCGGCUAACUACGUGCCAGCAGCCGCGGUAAUACGUAGGGGGCGAGCGUUGUCCGGAAUUACUGGGCGUAAAGGGUUCGCAGGCGGCAUGGCAAGUCCGAUGUAAAAGGCGAAGGCUCAACCUUCGUAAGCAUCGGAAACUGUCAAGCUUGAGUGAAGGAGAGGCAAGUGGAAUUCCUAGUGUAGCGGUGGAAUGCGUAGAUAUUAGGAGGAAUACCGGUGGCGAAGGCGACUUGCUGGACUUCAACUGACGCUGAGGAACGAAAGAGUGGGUAGCAAACAGG
rnacentral:rRNA from 1 species